rnacentral:rRNA from 1 species
CCUACGGGAGGCAGCAGUGAGGAAUAUUGGUCAAUGGGCGAGAGCCUGAACCAGCCAAGUCGCGUGAAGGAGGACGGCUCUAUGGGUUGUAAACUUCUUUUGUACGAGGGUAAACGCAGAUACGCGUAUGCGGCUGAAAGUACCGUACGAAUAAGGAUCGGCUAACUCCGUGCCAGCAGCCGCGGUAAUACGGAGGAUCCAAGCGUUAUCCGGAUUUAUUGGGUUUAAAGGGUGCGUAGGCGGGGCGAUAAGUUAGAGGUGAAAGUCCGGGGCUCAACUCCGGAACUGCCUUUGAUACUGUUGAGCUAGAGAGUAGUUGCGGUAGGCGGAAUGUAUGGUGUAGCGGUGAAAUGCGUAGAGAUCAUACAGAACACCGAUGGCGAAGGCAGCUUACCAAGCUAUAUCUGACGUUGAGGCACGAAAGCGUGGGGAGCAAACAGGAUUAGAUACCCCGGUAGUC